CAGUCGAGGGGUAGAGGAAGCUUGCUUCCUUGAGACCGGCGCACGGGUGCGUAACGCGUAUGCAAUCUACCUUGUACAGGGGGAUAGCCCAGAGAAAUUUGGAUUAAUACCCCAUAGUGUAGUUGAAUGGCAUCAUUUAAUUACUAAAGUUCCAACGGUACAAGAUGAGCAUGCGUCCUAUUAGCUAGUUGGUGUGGUAACGGCAUACCAAGGCUACGAUAGAUAGGGGUCCUGAGAGGGAGAUCCCCCACACUGGUACUGAGACACGGACCAGACUCCUACGGGAGGCAGCAGUGAGGAAUAUUGGACAAUGGGCGCAAGCCUGAUCCAGCCAUGCCGCGUGCAGGAAGAAGCAUCUAUGGUGUGUAAACUGCUUUUGUACGGGAAGAAACACUGCUACGUGUAGCAGCUUGACGGUACCGUAAGAAUAAGGAUCGGCUAACUCCGUGCCAGCAGCCGCGGUAAUACCGAGGAUCCAAGCGUUAUCCGGAAUCAUUGGGUUUAAAGGGUCCGUAAGCGGUCUGAUAAGUCAGUGGUGAAAGCCCAUCGCUUAACGAUGGAACGGCCAUUGAUACUGUUAGACUUGAAUUAUUGGGAAGUAACUAGAAUAUGUAGUGUAGCGGUGAAAUGCUUAAAUAUUACAUGGAAUACCAAUUGCGAAAGCAGGUUACUAUCAAUAUAUUGA
rnacentral:rRNA from 1 species